UACGUAGGGGGCAAGCGUUGUCCGGAAUUAUUGGGCGUAAAGAGCGCGUAGGCGGUCUGAUAAGUCGGUUGUGAAAGUCGGGGGCUCAACCCUCGGAUGCCGAUCGAUACUGCCAGGCUAGAGUCCGGAAGAGGCGAGUGGAAUUCCUGGUGUAGCGGUGAAAUGCGCAGAUAUCAGGAGGAACACCAAUGGCGAAGGCAGCUCGCUGGGACGUAACUGACGCUGAGACGCGAAAGCGUGGGGAGCAAACAGG
rnacentral:rRNA from 1 species